rnacentral:rRNA from 1 species
AGAGUUUGAUCCUGGCUCAGAACGAACGCUGGCGGCACGCCUAACACAUGCAAGUCGAACGAGAGCGUACCUUCGGGUAUGUCUCUAGUGGCGGACGGGUGAGUAACACGUGGGAACGUGCCUUUAGGUUCGGAAUAACUCAGGGAAACUUGUGCUAAUACCGAAUGUGCCCUUCGGGGGAAAGAUUUAUCGCCUUUAGAGCGGCCCGCGUCUGAUUAGCUAGUUGGUGAGGUAAAGGCUCACCAAGGCGACGAUCAGUAGCUGGUCUGAGAGGAUGAUCAGCCACAUUGGGACUGAGACACGGCCCAAACUCCUACGGGAGGCAGCAGUGGGGAAUCUUGCGCAAUGGGCGAAAGCCUGACGCAGCCAUGCCGCGUGAAUGAUGAAGGUCUUAGGAUUGUAAAAUUCUUUCACCGGGGACGAUAAUGACGGUACCCGGAGAAGAAGCCCCGGCUAACUUCGUGCCAGCAGCCGCGGUAAUACGAAGGGGGCUAGCGUUGCUCGGAAUUACUGGGCGUAAAGGGAGCGUAGGCGGACAUUUAAGUCAGGGGUGAAAUCCCGGGGCUCAACCUCGGAAUUGCCUUUGAUACUGGGUGUCUUGAGUGUGAGAGAGGUAUGUGGAACUCCGAGUGUAGAGGUGAAAUUCGUAGAUAUUCGGAAGAACACCAGUGGCGAAGGCGACAUACUGGCUCAUUACUGACGCUGAGGCUCGAAAGCGUGGGGAGCAAACAGGAUUAGAUACCCUGGUAGUCC